rnacentral:piRNA from 1 species
GCUCUUAGUAAAAUCAAAAGUAAUCUGCGA